UGGGGAAUAUUGGACAAUGGGCGCAAGCCUGAUCCAGCAAUGCCGCGUGGGUGAAGACGGCCUGCGGGUUGUAAAGCCCUUUAGGCGGGGAGGAACGGUCGGGUGCCAAUACCACCCGGCGCUGACGUUACCCGCAGAAUAAGCACCGGCUAACUCCGUGCCAGCAGCCGCGGUAAUACGGAGGGUGCGAGCGUUAAUCGGAAUUACUGGGCGUAAAGCGUGCGUAGGCGGUAGCGUCAGUCAGCCGUGAAAGCCCCGGGCUUAACCUGGGAACGGCGGUUGAGACGGCGCAACUAGAGUGGGCUAGAGGAUCGUGGAAUUCCGGGUGUAGCGGUGAAAUGCGUAGAGAUCCGGAGGAACACCGAUGGCGAAGGCAGCGGUCUGGGGCCACACUGACGCUGAGGCACGACAGCGUGGGGAGCAAACAGG
rnacentral:rRNA from 1 species